UACGAAGGGGGCUAGCGUUGUUCGGAAUUACCGGGCGUAAAGCGCACGUAGGCGGAUCGAUCAGUCAGGGGUGAAAUCCCAGGGCUCAACCCUGGAACUGCCUUUGAUACUGUCGAUCUGGAGUAUGGAAGAGGUGAGUGGAAUUCCGAGUGUAGAGGUGAAAUUCGUAGAUAUUCGGAGGAACACCAGUGGCGAAGGCGGCUCACUGGUCCAUUACUGACGCUGAGGUGCGAAAGCGUGGGGAGCAAACAGG
rnacentral:rRNA from 1 species